UCAACAAACCCGUUUCUUCCUGCAAAAAAAAAGGCAACUGAUGCAGUGUAUACAAUGCAAGUUUCUUAAAACACAGUAAUGAACAUUAAAGGUCGCAUAAUCUCUGGUUAUGCGCACGCAUAAACCCGUUCCUUAUAAAAUAGUCCAGAUCUUCAUUCUUUCUCUUCAUAAAAACGUCUUGCUAUCAUCGCAUGUAACUCUGACCUCUUUUUUUAUGCGAAAAAAUAAAAAAUAAAAUCGAUCCUAAAAGAGCAGCUGAUGCCCGCUGCCAACUUCGCCGUGUAAUGUUACGGGAAUACUCGGGGGGCAUGUAAAUGGCUUUAUCUAAAUCAGACGUGAUAUAGUCAGUCACCACGAAAAAGUGAAAAUAGUGGAAAAUUCUGAGAUGUAAUCGUGCCACGACAGAGAUGCGUAUCCGAAUAUCUGCAUCCACAAACGGCACGUUUAUCGAAGCGGUCCUUUUCUGUGGUACCAGGGCGCCAUCUCUCUUUACGGUUGGGUUUCUAACUUUUCAGAGGUUUCUAUUUUUACCACUGCUGUUAUUGUUGUUAAAUACAUACGUAUUUGUCACGUCGCAGUAACGUGCUUACGAAAUUAGAAAUUUGAAUAGUUGUAUUUCAUUUCCAAACUUAGUUGAAGAUUGAAUUUACACAAAAGUUACACAAUGUAAGCGGGGGGCAAAAGCGAGAUGUAAGCACUGGAAUCACCUUUUGCAUGCUCGCUGCUCAUAGUUAAGAGCAAUAACGAACUGUAGACAACUGAAGAUAUAUUCAGUGUUUGGGGGGUAGAUGAAGCUUAUCCCGGCAAGCAACGGGCGCAAGGCAGAAUGCACCCUUGAUGGGAUGUAAGCCCAAUAACCUACCAUUAUGCCUUGGGACGGUGGGAGGCAACUGGAGCACCCUAAGCAAAUCCACGAUAAACAUGAGAAGAACAACCUCUAUGCAGACAGCACCCCAGGUCUGGACCUGAACCCUAGGGACCAACGCUGUGAGGCAGCAACACUUACCACUGCACCACUGUCCUGCCCCUGGACUUGAAGUCUGGGAUGGCACUGUCCUUUACAGCACAAAGAUCAAGCAACAGCAGAAUGAAAAGAGCCCUAGGUUGGAUUCCAGGAUGAGAUGUCUUCAGGGCUGGAGAGUGCAUGUUCUCUCCUACAGGAUGUUCAGACUGAGAAGGACCAACUGGAAAUGUGGAAGCUGAAACUCAAAUGACUGUGCUAUAACCCGGGGGUAUCCAGGUCCAUACACCUGUUGGUGUUUAUUUCAGCCAAGGGUAGCGGGGGAGCUUGAGCCUGUCAUUGCAAGCAACGGGCACAAGGCAGGAUACACCUCGUCCAUCACAGGGCACACACAGACACAAUCCCGCCAGGGACA